UAUAUAUAUAUAUAUAUAUAUGACCUUAAUACAAUUUUCCUAUCUAAAAAAACAUAAUUUUAAAAUAAUCUAAUAACCAAUCUAUGUUCAGUUUUUGCCAGUUGUCUCAAAAAUCUCUAUAGUUUGUCUAAAUCAAGAUCCAGUAAAAUAGUCCAGUACGAACUACUGAAAGUUUGCUCCCUUCAUAAAAGCAUUGAAAAACCUGCCACAUACUAUCAAAAUCAACUUUCACAGAACUCUGGAAAUUAGCCAAAAGCUUGCGGCAACCCAGAAAACUUCAACUGAAAAAAAAAAAAGUUGAAUUCUAGUAGAAACAGCAAGCUAUGUGGUAUUUUACCUUAUUACCAGAUUUUAAAUCAGCUAUUUUAAACAUGUUCAAAGAGCCAAAGGAAGCCGGGUCUAAAGAAAUAAAGGAAAGAAUAAGAAUGAUGCCCAAACAGAAUAACAAAGAAGAGAUAAAACUGUAGUGGGGAAGAAAGCACAAAUUCUGAAGUUGGAAAGUACAAUAGUUGAAAUGAGAAUUCACUGAAGAGGUUUAAUAAUAGUAGAUUUGACAGAAAAAGAAUCAGCAAACUUGAAGACAGAUCUGUUGAAAUUAACCUCUCUGAGAAAAAGAAAGAAACAAGAAUGAAGAACAAUGAGCAAAACUUCUAAAACCUUUGGGAUACCACCAAAUGUACCCAUAUACACAUAAAAAAAGAGAAAGGGGCAGAAUAUUGGAAGAAAGAAUGGUUGAAAAUGUCUCACAUUUGAUGGAAAAUAUUAAUCUACCUAUCCAAGAAGCUCAGUGAACUCCAAGUAGGUUAAACUCAAAGAGCUCCAUACCUAGACAUAUCAUAAUCAAACCCUCAAAAGACAGAAUUUUGAAAGAGGCAAGAUAAAAGCAACUCAUCACACAAGGGAGUCUCAAUAAGAUUUACAACUGACUUCUCAUCAGAAACCAUGGAAACAAGAAGGCAAUGGGUACAUUUAAAAAUAACUAAGUAUAAUUGGAUUGUUUGUCACAAAGGAUAAAUGCUUGAGGCACUAGAUACCCCAUUUUCCAUGAUGUGAUUAUUACAGGAAUGCAAUGCCUGUAUCAAAACAUCUCAUGUACUCCAUAAAUAUAUACACCUACUAUGCAGCCACAAAAAUUAAAAAUGAAAAAAAAGGCAGUGGGUUGACAUAUUCAAAGUGUUGAAAGAAAAAGACUAUGAAAAAAUUUGUUAUUUGGCCAAACUAUCUUUCAAAAAUGAAGGCAACAUGAAAACAUUCCCAGAUAAACAAAAACAGAGUUCAUCUCUAGCCACCCUGCCCUACAUAAAAUACUAAAGGACAUCCUUCAGGCCAAAAUGGAAGGAAACUAGUAACUUGAAUCCACAUGGAGAAAUAAAGAGCACCAG
rnacentral:lncRNA from 1 species